UUUUCGUAUUCACUAGCCUUUUGAAAACUUAAACCCAAAGUUAUAAAACUAUAAUAGGUGCUCUUAUUAAUAGAUAGAUCAAUAGAUACAAUCUGCCUUGAGGGUACAAGGACUAAACUUUACAGUAUGAAUAUCAUCCUCUUGGUUUGCAACUGUCUCAAACCCCUUGACUUUGUCUGUUUGAGUACUCAGCCCAGUCCAUAUGCGUCUAUUAGUGAAUACGUAGUUUCAAGUAUAAGUCAAGUAGAAAUAAAUACAAAAAUACAACAUCAUAAGGAAAAUAAAACAUAUUGCUGCUUUUAGCUAUGGUUGCCAGCAACUGUAGACCACUAGAACAUUUCAACAUUGCAAGAUCUCAGCGGAGAAAUGCACAGUAGUACCGAUGAACUGUUUUCCCUUCCUCUCUGUAGUCCUCCUCAUUCAGCUGCUUCCUAGAUUCAAGAGAAAAGGGUCUAUCUAAAAAGGACACAAUAUCCAGCACAGACAAGUCACCAGCCUGCUCUUUGACAUUCAAAGCAUGGGACGCCUGACUGGGAUAUUUCUUUGUCGUUUUUUUGUUGUUGUCAUAUGCUAUAUUACUUCCUGUUUGUUAAAACAGGACCUCGAAACAACACAACACAUCACCUCAUUUUAAUUUUUUAUUUUUCUUACCAAAACCUGGUGAGCGGAAACUAAAUCUUGCACAAUUGCUCAUUAAAAUAAAUGUUGUAUUAUUUGGUUUUAAAAAUGUAAGUUAUUAUUCAAAUUGACCAACCGAUCAGAGACCACAUUACCUCUUUAAUUAGCUAAUUAAACUGCCCUAUAAAAGUAGAUGACAAAUCUAUGAAAAAUACAUCAAACCUAAAAUAAAUGUUUGUUUGGUUGGUACAAAUAGUGCCACUGACAACCAAUACUUGUGAGGUAAAAAGUGCAGGUAUGUUCAAGUUUAUCCCUGGAAAAUCAUCAGCUAGGCUGAUAAAUUAUCUAAAUGAUGAACAUUUAAUGAUUGAUCAUGAUAAAUGUGAUUCGUACCUGUUUCUUAUAGCAGAAAUUCGAUAUAAAUAUUGAUAUAAUUGUAAAAAAGUUAUGCCUAAAACAUAGACUUUUUAUAUCAAGUAUACAUUUUAAAAGACCAUGGCUAUAUUCAAUUCCAGCCAAAAUUGUAGCACUCAAAUUUAGCAUUUAUCUUUUUAUUCAUUUAUUGAUAGAAAAAGAAAAGAAAAAGUGAUUGGCAUUGAGUUUGUCCUCCCUGGGUUUCUGUGAGCUAAUCUGAAUUCUAGCACUUUCAACCUUUAAAAAAGAGUAUUUUUUUCUUUUAACAUAUAAUCUUAUAUGUUGAUAUGUUUUUCAUUUGUAUUUGAUCCUGUAUAUGUAUGUGCCAUUAGUUUGAUGUGUAGAUUUGAUCAACCUUUGUGUAUUUUUCUCCAAAAGUAUAACAGUAUUUUUGAUAGACUUUUCACUAAUACCUUCUUGCAUGGGCCCCCAGUCCCCCCUGAGCCCCGUUGGGUCACCAGCAUUGCCUUCUCGAUUGAAAUUGUAUCUAACCAACAACAAAAAUGUCUACAACCAAGUAUUUGUAACAGAGAUUUGUAAUCCAAUUGCCUCUCAGAGAACAUGGUGAGCGUUACACAUCAUCGUCCCUAUGACAUCAUCACAUCCACAAUCUGGAAUAGAACAACUACCAGAUUGUUGAACAGCACAUUAUCUGGGGAACCCAGUUUUAAAGCACUUUUAUUUUGCACCCCGUGUUCAUAACAACUGACUGCUGCAUGACUGAAAAGGGUCGUACUAGUGCCAAGUAGCUGUAGAAUACAUGUUGCUUCUAGACACAAUAAGGCAGUCUGGAAAUGAAUAUGUUUACAACACGCUCUAUGGACCACGCUGUGUCAAGACAGGGCUUUGCUACAGAGAAGGCACGUCUUCCAUCUGCCCCAGUUUACAGUAGACUUCACCCCACACAUAACAGUAGAGACGAUGGAAAUGCUAAUCAUUCAUUGGCGGAAGAAAACUGGAUGACCUAAUCAUGAGUUCAUCCCACUCGUUUUGGAGAGAUGACUCCUCUAACCUCUGCUAAGGUACAUCCUGAGAAGGCCUACCUCUGACAGUGGUGUUAUGAUUCAAAGCAUCUGAUAGGUCAUUGGCAUCGUUAAUGAAAGGUUGUGGAAGUAAUAUCUCACCUUAAGUUUUGACUUGAGUGCGGAGCGGAUGUUUUGCUACAAUGCCUCGUAGGUUCAUUACCUCGACUGCACCUACUAGGGAUGCACUUGUCGACACCGUUCCUCUGUUAGUAGGUGCAGAACACAGAAUUUAAGGGGAUUAUUUUAUCCAUUUUAAGUCAGAAAACCAAUUGGAUUUCAUUAAUACUUCUUUUUUUUUUUUCUAGUGAGAAACUGGGUACUGUCUGGAGAAGACAAAAUCCCCAUUAGUUUUAUAUAUUUUCAGCUUAAUGUAAGUCUUGCAUUCUAAGCUCUUUGUGCAUCUUCUUUAGCGACAUAGACAUGUAUGUUUAGUACUUGCUCAUUACAGCCACCUCUGGGGAAAAGGUGAACAAAACAAAAAUGGAAUAUUUACAUUCAUCCUUACACUAUUUUAUAUAGCAUGGAGUUGAUCAACUACAGGGAGAAUUGUAUAAGAAUAUUCUUCAGAGAAAAAAAACGUAGCUUGUUUGUCACAUAUCUCACAUGCAAUCAGUUGCUGCAAAGUGACAGAUUUGUGUAUUGGUUGAUCCAAAGAGAUGACAUAACAACACUCUUUACUCGUUGUACAGUACCAUUGGAUCUUUGACCUGUCGUGUACAGUACCAUUGUAUCUUUGACCUGUCGUGUACAGUACCAUUGGAUCUUUGACCUGUCAUGUACAGUACCAUUGUAUCUUUGACCUGUCAUGUGUUGUGUUGAAAUGAUUAAAAGACAAACCCACGGUUUCAUA